rnacentral:tRNA from 1 species
GAUAGUGUGUCUGAAAAAGAGUUAAACUGUAAAUUUAAUCAUAGGUCUUCCUCUCUAUCA